GUGAUCAUUUCAGCAGCACAUAUACUAAAAUUAGAACGAUACAGAGAAGAUUAGCGUGGCCUCUGAGCAACAAUGACACGCAAAUUAGUGAAAUGUUCCAUAUUUUU